UAUAUUUUAGUGUAUUAUGCACGUAAAUUUUUGAUAUUUAAAGAUUUAGAUUAUAACUAAAAAAUAUAA
rnacentral:tRNA from 1 species